GGGGGGAGAACCGGAUCCUGGACUGUGUCCCUGGCGCCCUGUGCUCCGGGGCCUGUGCUGUUGGAUUCUCGCUCCCGGCUGCGCAGCCCCCU
rnacentral:pre_miRNA from 1 species